UACGGGGGGUGCGAGCGUUGUCCGGAAUCACUGGGCGUAAAGGGCGCGUAGGUGGUUUGAUAAGGGUGUGGUGAAAGUCCGGGGCUCAACCCCGGAUCUGCCGUGCCGACUGUCAAACUCGAGGACUGUAGAGGCAGACGGAAUUCCGGGUGUAGCGGUGGAAUGCGUAGAGAUCCGGAGGAACACCAGCGGCGAAGGCGGCGUCCUGGACUGGUACUGACGCUCAGGAGCGAAAGCGUGGGGAGCGAUCCGG
rnacentral:rRNA from 1 species